rnacentral:lncRNA from 1 species
GUCUUUUCUAAGCCCUACAGAAGUUGUCCUGUUGGUCUAGGGCCACUGGAUCUGUGGCCACUUGGCAAUCUCUCAGGAUGGUUUCUUUGUUCCUCAACCAAAUUACUGACUACUGCUGUAAAUGCAGUCCUGUGGGUUACCCUUGAAAUGGGACUGAGUUUUAUUGAAGAUGAGGACUUUUGCUCCUUCCCUAGUUUUGUCUUCAAUUCCCAACUACCUUCUACAUGCACAUAACAUUCAACCACCUAUGUGAGCAUAUAAACACUCCACUUAGAUUCACUUUGAUCCUUAAUCCUUUUAAUAAAACUGUAC